rnacentral:rRNA from 1 species
AGGGCGCUGGAAGGCCCCCUCCCCGAAAGGACGGCGGCCGAUCCGCCGCCGCCCGCCCGAGGAUGGGGGCACGGCCCAUCAGGUAGUUGGCGGGUUAAAGGCCCGCCAAGCCGAAGACGGGUAGGGGCGGUGAGAGCCGCGAGCCCCGAGAUCGGCACUGAGACAAGGGCCGAGGCCCUACGGGGUGCAGCAGGCGCGAAUACUCCGCAAUGCGGGCAACCGCGACGGGGCUACCCCGAGUGCCGGACGAAGAGCCCGGCUUUUGCCCGGUCUAAAACGCCGGGAGAAUAAGCGGGGGGCAAGUCUGGUGUCAGCCGCCGCGGUAAUACCAGCUCCGCGAGUGGUCGGGGUGUUUACUGGGCUUAAAGCGCCCGUAGCCGGCCCGGCAAGUCGCUCCUGAAAUCCCAGGGCUCAACCCUGGGGCAGGGGGCGAUACUGCCGGGCUAGGGGGCGGAAGAGGCCGCCGGUACUCCGGGGGUAGGGGCGAAAUCCGUUAAUCCCCGGAGGACCACCAGUGGCGAAAGCGGGCGGCCAGAACGCGCCCGACGGUGAGGGGCGAAAGCCGGGGGAGCAAAGGGGAUUAGAUACCCCUGUAGUCCCGGCCGUAAACGAUGCGGGCUAGCUGUCGGCUGGGCUUAGGGCCCGGCCGGUGGCGAAGGGAAACCGUUAAGCCCGCCGCCUGGGGAGUACGGCCGCAAGGCUGAAACUUAAAGGAAUUGGCGGGGGGGCACCACAAUUGUGAAGCUUGCGGCUUAAUUGGAGUCAACGCUGAAACCUCACCCGGGGCGACAGCAGAUGAAGGCCA